rnacentral:rRNA from 1 species
GAUGAACGCUGGCGGCGUGCCUAAUACAUGCAAGUCGAGCGAAUGGAUUAAGAGCUUGCUCUUAUGAAGUUAGCGGCGGACGGGUGAGUAACACGUGGGUAACCUGCCCAUAAGACUGGGAUAACUCCGGGAAACCGGGGCUAAUACCGGAUAACAUUUUGAACCGCAUGGUUCGAAAGUGAAAGGCGGCUUCGGCUGUCACUUAUGGAUGGACCCGCGUCGCAUUAGCUAGUUGGUGAGGUAACGGCUCACCAAGGCAACGAUGCGUAGCCGACCUGAGAGGGUGAUCGGCCACACUGGGACUGAGACACGGCCCAGACUCCUACGGGAGGCAGCAGUAGGGAAUCUUCCGCAAUGGACGAAAGUCUGACGGAGCAACGCCGCGUGAGUGAUGAAGGCUUUCGGGUCGUAAAACUCUGUUGUUAGGGAGGAACAAGUGCUAGUUGAAUAAGCUGGCACCUUGACGGUACCUAACCAGAAAGCCACGGCUAACUUCGUGCCAGCAGCCGCCGUAA